UAUUGAGUUGGCAGAUUAGUGUAUUAAAUUUAGGUUUUAAUUAAGUAUUUAUUAUACAUUCAAUAA
rnacentral:tRNA from 2 species